GUGGGGAAUAUUGGACAAUGGGCGAAAGCCUGAUCCAGCCAUGCCGCGUGUGUGAAGAAGGUCUUCGGAUUGUAAAGCACUUUAAGUUGGGAGGAAGGGCAGUAAGUUAAUACCUUGCUGUUUUGACGUUACCAACAGAAUAAGCACCGGCUAACUUCGUGCCAGCAGCCGCGGUAAUACGAAGGGUGCAAGCGUUAAUCGGAAUUACUGGGCGUAAAGCGCGCGUAGGUGGUUUUGUAAGUUGGAGGUGAAAUCCCCGGGCUCAACCUGGGAACUGCCUCCAAAACUGCAGGACUAGAGUACGGUAGAGGGUAGUGGAAUUUCCUGUGUAGCGGUGAAAUGCGUAGAUAUAGGAAGGAACACCAGUGGCGAAGGCGACUACCUGGACUGAUACUGACACUGAGGUGCGAAAGCGUGGGGAGCAAACAGGAUUAGAUACCCGAGUAGUCC
rnacentral:rRNA from 1 species